CCAUGCAAGCACUGUAUUGGGCCUAACAGGAAGGAUUGCUCCACCUGAAGGAUGACGAGAGACAUGUACACAGAAUGUGUAGUCACCCACCCCUCUUUGCUGGCCUUCAUAUUUGAUGGGUAAAGUAAUGUACAGAAUAAAGUUGGUCUCGGGUCCCUAAGUUAAUGAGCUACAUGGAACUUCAAAGGCAAAGCAGAGAUCGCAGGAAAACUGGGAAAACUCAGGCAGGAUUUUAAUGGCCAGGGACCUACUUGCAGUCAUGGUAUCAUCAAAUAGAAUUCCAUUGCUAAGGAUAGUCAGGCCUUACAAGCCAAAAAAAUUCAAUUCUUUGCUCAGCACAUGGUGAAAAAGGAUCAAAAAGAGGCAGAAAUAAUAUGGGUAAGAAAUUUCUGACUCUGCUGACUUCAUCAAUGCAUUCAUUAGCACCUUUUCAAUUAUUAAUUGCUCUACUGCUGCAGUUAUUACUGAUCCAUAUUAAUCCUCCAAGGAACAUGAGAUGACAACACCGAGUCAUGACGACCUUGUCUUUCCAUAUGCUACAGCUGAUCAGGAAUUUUCCAAUGAAAGAGCUGUUCACUGUAAAGUGUGAAUUUUGAAAAAUAUUUGCCUUUGUUGGAAAUAAACACAUUUCAUUGAUUUCUGUUGGAAAGGUCUUUUUGGAUCUGACACAGCCUUCCUACAGCUGAUAUUCAUGAAUAAGAUUUUUCUUGAGGAUGUUAGACAAAUAUGUCCUUUUUCUUCCUGGUAAUUCAUACAAAGUGAGCAAGAGGAGACUGGGGAACACCUGGAAACAGACUGCAUUUUAGGCUGACCCACUUUCAAGAACAAUUUUGCCUACACAGGCCUCACACAAUAUAGCAGAUAAAAACAAUAACCCCAAACCUUAACAAAAGAGUAUGGAAGAAUAUGGAAGUGAUGUGAGGCAUUUUUACUUUUCUCAUGAGUGUUUGUGACAUUUUGCAAGAGUCAUGGCUGUAUGAAAAGGAAACUUCAGAGAUUAAACUUCAGACAUGUCCCUGUUAUGGGGGGCCGGGACCAGUUUAUCACUUUGUGGGUAUAACCAAAGCUAAGUAUUCUACACUCUCUGUGUUAUUUCUGAUGGUCUGUUAAUAAAUGGAUCAUUUGCAGCAGCUGCCCAGGGCACACCUGACACCUCAGGCUAUAAGCUGGGUGUUAAAGAAACCCUUUGAGGCAGAGGAGUG